ACUUACAAUUUACGUAUCGUUAACCAUUUUAAAUUAGAACUUAGUUAUUCCAGUUGAUCUGGAUCCAGAGUGAACGUUCACUCUGCUUGACGCCUCCCUGUUAAAACACCUCAGAGCCGCACCGAUGCGGCUCUUUUUUU
rnacentral:sRNA from 1 species